rnacentral:tRNA from 1 species
GUUUUAAUAGUUUAAUAAAAACAUUGGUCUUGUAAACCAAAAAUAAGAUUAACUCUUUUAAAACU